rnacentral:rRNA from 1 species
GACAGAGGGUGCAAACGUUGUUCGGAAUUACUGGGCGUAAAGCGCGUGUAGGCGGUUUGGUAAGUCGGGUGUGAAAGCCCUGGGCUCAACCCAGGAAGUGCACUCGAUACUGUCAGGCUAGAGUAUCGGAGAGGUUGGUGGAAUUCUCGGUGUAGAGGUGAAAUUCGUAGAUAUCGAGAGGAACACCGGUGGCGAAGGCGGCCAACUGGACGAAUACUGACGCUGAGACUCGAAAGCGUGGGGAGCAAACAGG